UGUGCAAUCUAGGUAGUGGCCCAGCCGCUCACGAGCGGCUGGGAGGAAAGUCCGGACAGCAGAGUGUAGGGUGUCCACUGAAAAGUGGAGGGUGCGAGGCGAAAGCCGAGCACGACAGUCAGAGUAACAGUGACGAUCUGGGUAGCGCCAGGUGAAACGACCAAGCUUUUGGGUAGCCUCUACUCGGUUUCGAUCGAGCAUGAUGACAAUCCUCCCCGCUGCAACCGCCGAAUUUCACCGCAUUGCACACACUCGCAUCAGAGGGCGACGUUUCGGCCGAGCCUUCUGACGGUGAUAAUGUCGCGGGCAUAGAUAGAUCACUAUCCUCGACAGAAUCUGGCUUAUCGGAUUGCACAGCUU
rnacentral:RNase_P_RNA from 1 species